AUGGAGUUCCCCGCUUCUUCCUUUCAGCCCCCAGCCGCCGCCGCCGCCGCCACCGGCGCCGCCGCCACCCCCUCUCGCUAUCCCGCCUGGGUUCUACUCGACAGAAAGGCCUACUUCGCCGAUCUCGAGAACGCCACCACCGCUGAAGCCAAAUCAAGCACCGGUCGCAUCGUAAAGGUCACCUUCUACCUAGCGGAUCCGCCGGCCGUCUCCCACUUUUGCGUCCAUGGCCCUGAUUUCAACCCCGGGCACUUCGCCGUUGAGCCCCGGGUUCUAUUCUCGGAGAAGGACCUCGUCCUCCUAUGCUUCGCCUUCACCAGCGGCUCCCGAAGUUCUGUCCAACACUGUGGUCUCGCCGAGUACUUCAUCUACAAGGUUGGCCGAGACAAGCCAUCCCUCAAACCGAUCCCGGCUACUCCUCCAGGUACCAGGAAUACACUGUAUGUCGGUGUCGUGUCGUGUGACAAGGGCGACGAUGGGGAAUUCUUCCUUGCCGAUCUAGCCGUCACAACUACCCUUGGUUACUAUGACAUCAGUAUUUUUUCAUCCAAGAAGGACAAGUGGGUCACUAGGACAUUGCAGUUGGAGGCAUCUACUACUGAACUCAGGGUAGAGGACAUGUUCAUUGUACCUCACAAGGUUAUCACUCUUGGUGGAGGCGUGGUAGGAUGGGUCGACCUCUGGCGUGGUAUUAUUGCUUGCAACAUUCUUGACGAGGACCCAUUUAUCUUUUUCAUUCCACUUCCCAAGCCUGAAUUCAACUUGCCUCGGGAGGGUGACCCAAAGCCGGUUCGGGACAUUGCCUGCUACAAUGGUGUUAUCAAAUUUGUCGAGAUGGAUCAUCUUUACAGGCGGGAGGUUGUUAGUAUUAACAGUCGUAGUAAGAGGUUUAAGAUGACGAAGGAUCUGGAUAGUGUAGAUAGGAUGUACGACCUGGAUAUCCUCCUCCGUCCGCAUGAGGACUUCCUAGAAGCGCCGCGAGAGCAAAUUAAUUAUAUCCCUGAUGGUUGGAAGAUCCGGACAUGUUAUAGGCAUACUGCUUGGGACCAUUGGCGCAAGGGGCACAUUAUUCAUGUUGAUGACAUCUUGGCCAACAACCCAAAUCAGUUUGCCUUGUUGCCACAGCUAUGGGAUGGUUGUGGAAAAUCACCAUUAAGGAGCCUGACAACAGCGCACCCGGCCCUCAGCCCAAGUGGUGAUGAUCUUGUCUACCUGAUGUCGAUGAUGGACUCGUAUGAUAAGACUGCUUGGAUGGUUGGUGUUGACCUUGGAAAGAAGGAGGUGGAAAUACUUGUACCAUAUCGUGCUGAGAGAGCCUAUCAUUUCAAACCAGACUAUUUGACAUGUGUGUUCCCCAAAUAUCUGAAUGAAAUUCAAAGGUCAUGUGCUGAGGAGAUUGCUGGCUUAUCACGGAAUUUUGUGAUGCAUGGUCAUCUUUCAUCAAACUAUCCACCCCCAUCGUUUACCAAUUUAUCACGUCCCAUGCAUCUCAAUUGUCCAUCAGCAUCAGAGGAUGUUCAUCCAGUGAGCUCCCAAUCGGUGUACCCGGUGCUAAACACUGACGAUCAUGGUCAGCCAUGGCUCUCAAUGCCACUUGGUGGUGCAUUCUUUUCACAGCUGUUGCAGUUAGCACACCGGCGCUCCACCCAACUAAUGCCUCAGUCGACAGAUGAACACACUGAUCGUGCAGCUGGUAAUGUCAUCUUGCGGCCAUCUGAGAGUCAAACAUCCCCAGUCGCCCAGCCUGACAGCGGGCUCCCAAAUGACACCUCGACGGUGGUUGAGAUGCCACCCCACCGAGUGCUCCGGCCUGAGGACGAGCUCUCCUAA
rnacentral:rRNA from 1 species